rnacentral:rRNA from 1 species
UACGUAGGAGGCAAGCGUUGUCCGGAAUUACUGGGCGUAAAGCGCGUGUAGGUGGUGGGACAAGUCUGCUGUGAAAGCGCCUGGCUUAACCGGGCGAGGUCGGCGGAAACUGUCCGACUCGAGGACGGUAGAGGGGGGUGGAAUUCCCGGUGUAGUGGUGAAAUGCGUAGAGAUCGGGAGGAACACCUGUGGCGAAGGCGGCCCCCUGGGCCGGCCCUGACACUGAGGCGCGAAAGCUAGGGGAGCAAACAGG